rnacentral:lncRNA from 1 species
UUCCAUCCAAACCUUGCAUUUGCAUCUCCCAUUAACAUGCAGAUUUUGAUAUGGACCUUUAAUGCUCCAAUUGUUUUAAGUGCACUUGAAAAUGGAUUAGGAAAACUUGGCUAGGGAGGUUGAAUUUUAGUUGCAGCAUGCAGUUUUUAUGGAAGCCCCUGUUAACUAGAAACGCAGAGCCACUAGUAUAUGAGAUUCAUACCAAUUGCUCUGAAAAGCUUUUUCUCCCUACCUUUAUUUCAGUGUCAAAUGACCCAUCAGACCUCAUCCUCAGAUAUUGGAAACAUUCAUUUUCUAAAUAAUUGGAUGUGGUGGGUGUAAGGGCAAAGGGCCACGGAGGCCCUCCUUCUUAUGUGAAUUUAACGGACACAAAGAAGAAAAGUUCAAAGUCAUGCAUGUGAAAACAAUGGGAAUUUAUCACAAUUCUCGAUGCUAUUUCCCUUGAAAAUAACAGGGUGAAGGGUUUAGUGUGUUUGAUUUUUAAAGAGUGCUUUAAUUGUCAGUCUUGAUGUCUGUGUGUUCAAAUUGACAAGAUCAGUAUUCUGCUGCCUGAGGCAGCUGGCUGAAAUUGAUGAUAUAAAACACCAGCAACUUGACAGGAAGCCACUUUACAAAGCUAGUGGUUGUGACUGGGAGAAAAAUUGCAAUUAAGGCUAUGUUGGGGUAAGGGCCAUACUUUGAGGGAUACUGGUCAUUGACCAUCAAUCAAAACACCAGCUUACAUUUAAAAUGUGUGAUUUUUGCUUUGGUAGCAAAAUGUCUAAGGAACAAUUGUGUUGAGAAUCAACAUCAGAGGAGUGGAUGACAUCUUCUUAGGAGAAAAGCCUAUGUGAAUGCAAGGGAAAAAAAAAAAUCAGUCGUUCUUUACUAUUUGAUAGUUCACCAGUCCAGAAACUUAGAGUUAAAUGCAGAGUCUUAAGGGUGCUUCCUUUAGCACUUGUGCCAAACGUGAUAAGUGAGAUGAUUUCUUAGGGCCAUGGCCAGGGUUAACCAAAGCAAAACUAUGAGGAAUGUACCACUUCUAGCAUUAGCAUGGUUUCCGCUCCCAUGAUUUCACAGAAGCACAGGAGCCUGGGGCAUGGGAGAUAUUUCUCCAGGUUGUCCCUGACCUUGUUUCAGCCACCAAUAGGCAACUGUGCCCUUUCAGAUCUUCCUGGUGGCCUAAUCUGUGGAUGGCAACCACUCUUCACUUUCCUCAUUUUCUUGGGAUGUGAAUAGACAGAACUGUGUUGCCGAUUCUUGCAAGGAUGUCCAUUUCUUGUGCUAAUUCCUGCAAUUCUGUGUCAUUAUCUAUUAGUCUUUUUAUCUAAGUAGACACAUAAGUCCAAGGGGUAGAUGAUGCUCCUAAAAUAUUUGACUUCAUACCAGAUUAACCAGCUGUGGGGAACUAUAUGACUUCCUUAUUCUUGAACAUUUACGAUAGGAUUUCAAAAAUUUGUAUUUAAGGUAGAAUUAAAGAUGUAUGCACAUAUUUACAUUUAAAAAUAUAUGUACUUCCAGGUUCUGUAUAUAAAAAGGUAAUAACCUAUUGGUGGUAGGUAGGUUUAAGAAAUUUUUAAAUAUCCUAGUUAAAAAUAUUUUGUAUUUAUCAACAGUAUUUAAUGUUCUCGUUAGUUUUCUGUCACUACACAUAUAGUGUGAAAUAGAUAAACAGACAGCAUGUUAUUUUAAUCACACUUGUAAAUAAAGUUGUGAACCCACUUUUUGUAUUUAAAAUCUGCCUUAGAUAUAUAAAAGUCAGUUCUUCCAAGCAAAAUAUCUUCAGUUAAGUGUUUCUAUUUGAUCUUGUAUAGCCUUUGAUAUUUUGGAUAGAAAUAAAAGAAGUAAAACAAACCACACAAAAUAUUCAGAAAAUUGCCUUUCUUUCUGGAAUUUCCCUCAUGGCUCAGUGGACAUGAACCCAACUAAUAUCCAUGAGGAUUCGAGCUCAAUCCCUGGGGGCUCUGCUCAGUGAGUUAAGGAUCCGGCGUUGCUGUGAGCUGUGGUGUAGGUCGCAGACGUGGCUCAGAUCCCGCCUUGCUGUGGCUGUGGCAAAGGCUGGCAGUUGCAGCUCCAAUUCGACCCCUACCCUAGGAACUUCCAUGUGCCACAGGUGUGGUCCUAAAAAAAAAUUUUUUUUUAAUUGUACUUUUUUUGAUGAUUGACAGCUUAGGUUGCUGCUGUGGCGUGGGUUCAAUCCUGGCCUGGGAAUUUUCUGCAUGUCACUGGUGCAGCCAAAAUAAAAAAAUCAGUCUUCAAAAAAAUUGAAAAGUAUAUCCUUCAUGAAUACAGAUUAAAAUCAUUUUGAGCAUACAAAAUACCUUCUAUAUAUAAGAGCUAGUCAACAAAAUUUCAAUAUUUCUGAGAAUUUGGUUUUGGACCUUCAUUGUGUUUUAUGGAGAAAGGCCCCAUUUUCCUGCUUUCUAAAGGAGUUAGAUCACUAAUUAAUAAAUUUGAAGUAACAUCACUAUUUUUUGAUGACCAUAAAAAUCCAGAAAAAUAGGGGCCUUAUUCCUAAAUACAACCAAUAUACUUAUGUUGUGGAUUUUAUUUCUAAACUAAAUAUAGUCUCCUAAAGCAUUCUCUAUCAUCUAAUAAAUAUAUAGAUGCAGCUGUAUAGGUAAGGAGCAAACUUCAAAGAUUAGAUGUUAUUAAGUGCAUUAAUGAUGUACCAGCUUUGCUGUGAUUCAGAAGACCUGGGUAUCUGAUUAGGUUUUCAGUGAUUAGACUGACACUAGCUGUGCAGAAUUUUUUUUUACUUUGAGUAUUUAUAAUUUAAAAAUCUGUAUGCAAGGCAUUUCCCAUUUUCACAGUCUUGGAUUUUUUUUUUUUUUUUUUUUUGACUCCCUGAGCCAAAGAAGUCUUUCACUUUUGCUUACAAAACAGUUUUAAUGAUAAAAAUGUUUCUGGUCUAUAUUCCACCAAAAGACAAGAAAGGAGUCUUAAUGAAUUUAUUUGAAAAAUGGAGAGAAUAACUUAGUUCAUUUAGAAGAUAGAGAUAUAACAUCCGGGUGUUGCUUUGGGUAAGGGAAAUGGAGAAAAUACAUACUUUUUCUUUCUUUUUAUGAUUUCGGGCACCUAUCCAUUUAUGAUAAGGCAGAAACUAUAGCAUUAAUUAAUAAAUAAUGUCAUGGAACACAUUCUUUGGAAUGCAGUUUGUGGCUUCUUGCCCAGGAUAGUGGAACAGCUGUUUCUGCUGAAUUAUUGGAAUGUGAGAAGCAAUGAUGUAAAUGCUUCAAAGCACAGAGAGUAAAGGGAUUUUUCUUUUUUUUGGUCUGAAAUCCCAAUGAAUAGAAGCUUUUAUACACAAAGAAAGAAUUCAGAGAGCCCUGUAGUCUUUGAGCAUAACACUUCUUUGCCUUGCACAUUCCCAUUAUUCUACCAGAUCCUUGGUGUGAGAUGUUUCAGGGGUUUCUGGUCACACAAGACUCUUCUGUUCUUCCACAAAUCACUCAGAACCAGAAACCCCUUGGUCAACUUAUGGUGCACCCCUGUAAGGUCUCUGCAGGGAAAGGUCAGAGAGCAGUGCCAAGCUGGGGUGUAGCUGGCAGUGUGGCAGGUAGGGGCCCUGGAAUUGAAGGACCUCAGAGCCAUCCCAGCUCUGCUACUUUGUAGCACUGGGACCUCAGUCAAGUGACUAACACAGAGCACAUAUUGCUCAUCUCUGCCUCUAUGUUUUACCAGUAGUAUGAGGAUAGUUGAUAAAAUUAUGCUAUUGAUAAUUCUAUCAAUAGCCUAAGGAUAAAAGAAUUGAUCUCAGAGUGUCCUUAAUGAGUAUUAACAGAAAAGGUUUAUGUAUGGCUCAUGUAAACACUGAAUAAACAGUAGUUAUUUUUAUUAGGCAUUUUAUUCCAAAGCACUUUUCAAUCGGUUUGUUGUACAGAAGGUGACAGUUAUGAUACCGAAUAAUUUCCGGAGUUCCCUGGUGGCUCAGUGGAUUAAGGAUCUAGCCUUGUCACUGCUAUGGCUUAGGUUGCUGCUGUGCCAUGAGUUCAGUCCCUGGCCUGGGAACUUCCACAUGCCUUGAAUGUGGCCAAAAAAUUAAUUAAUUUUAAAAAUAAGGUAUUGAAUUAUUUCUAUUUAAAAAACAUACUGAGAUGGAAGUCAAGCCAGAUCCUGAUCAGGCUUGAUAUAUUUGCUGUGUGAUUUAGAAAAGUCAUUUAACUUCUCCAAAUCUCAGUUUGCCUAUCUGAAAAAUGGAGUUAAUAAUGGUUUCUGUUGCUUCUGUGCUUAUUACAUUCUAGAUACUGCGCUAAGUGUUUUACAUGCCCUGGGUGAUUUAAUCCCCCUAACAACCUUAAGUGAUAGGAACUAUUUUAGCAUUUUACAGAGGAAGAAACAAGUACAGAGAGGAAUCUGAUUUCAUUCACUUACAGAGCACUUACUGAGCAUUAUUCUAUUACAGACACUUUUUCUUGAUGCUAGAAAUGUAGCCAUGAACAAGAGACAAAAAGGCAGGGGCUGGGGUCCUUAUAGGCCUAUGUUCU